UACGGAGGGUGCAAGCGUUAUCCGGAUUUACUGGGUUUAAAGGGUGCGUAGGCGGGUUCUUAAGUCAGAGGUGAAAUCCUGGAGCUCAACUCCAGAACUGCCUUUGAUACUGAGAGUCUUGAGUUCGGGAGAGGUGAGUGGAACUGCGAGUGUAGAGGUGAAAUUCGUAGAUAUUCGCAAGAACACCAAUGGCGAAGGCAGCUCACUGGGACGGUAUUGACGCUGAGACGCGAAAGCGUGGGGAGCAAACAGG
rnacentral:rRNA from 1 species